rnacentral:lncRNA from 10 species
GACCGACGACAACUUUAGGCCCUCAUCAGCCUGAAGGUGGCACCAGAGGAGUCGACACAGCAGACUUCACUGACUAGCCUUUAUCUACCGUAAAGUUCCCAUAUAUUUGCUUUCCCACAAUUUUCUCCACCUGGAGACUCAAGUCUUUUGUUAGAUCUUGCCUGGAGACAUCAAACCCUUCUUCCUGUUCCUCGCCUGCCAGAAACUCAAUCUGCCCUUGCGAGGACUUAUACGUUGAGUUCUUCUGUCAGAAAAAUCAAGUGUAGGAAAAAAAUCUUUGUAUUUCAGUAGAAAACAAUGCACUGUCUGUAGCACACCUUCCUGCAUUAUAAGAUUCUAGGCCUGUACAUUGUCUGAGCUAUUUUGAAACUCUCUGUAAGUUGUAACUGGUAUGUAAAUGCUGUACUGUCUGGUUGUGAUUUUAACUGACUUCUUCCUCACUGUGGAAAACUCAGUUUUGUCCCCAUUUGCAAUUUAUCUUAACAUUCCUUUACUCCAUAUAAAUCUGUUUUUGAGUUUUCCUUUAAACUGGUUAUAACACCUGCUUGCUUUUCUCAGAUCAUAUAAGUGAAGUAAAUUCUUCAACAUGUGCUAAUUUUUACAUCUAUAUGAGAGUCAUGAUUUUACCUUUCACUGAAAAUUAUCAUUUAACACAGGGAAGCCUUUGGGGGGAAGUGGCAGGACUUGGCUUCCAAAGAAGAAUGGACUGAAUCUCUGAGCCCUGUGUCUCUCCCCCAUUUAGGUUUGUGGCCACGCAUUCCUCAACUGCUCAGGCCCCGAAGCAUUCAGGUCAUUCUUGACCCUUCCCUUUCUUGCACCCCCAUCUCCAACCCUGUAUAGGCUACAUAAUGUCUCCCCAAAGCUGUCUACAUCCAAACCCUGGAAGCUGUGAAUGUUUGUUAUCUUACACAGCAAAAGGGACCUUGCAGAUUUGGUUAAAUUAUGGAUUUUGAGAUAGGGAUGGAUUAUCCAGGCAGACCAGUUGUAACUACAGGGAAGCAGAAGCAUCAUAGUCAGAAAAAGGAGAUGUGAGGAUCAAAGCAGGGUUGGAGAGAGGUGCUUUGAAAAUGGAGAAAGUGGGCACAUGCCAAGGAAUGCAGGUGGCCUCUAGAAGCUAGAAAAGGCGGGGGAAUUCUCCCCUCAGAGCCUCGGGAAGGAACCAGUCUUGCUACUCGAUUUUAGCCCCAUAAAACUAUUUUCAGAUUUCCUACCUCCAAAAUGGUAAGGGAAUAAAUUUAUAUUGUUUUAAACCAGUAACUGCAUAAUGUGUUACAAUAGCAAUGGGAAACCUAUACAAAUGCCAUAGUAAAUUACGUUGGCUUCAUCUUCAAAAUGUAGCCAGAAUCCGACCAUUUUUCCCCAGUGCUGCUGUUAGCAUUCGGGGCCAAGCCAGUUCCAUUCCUUGCCUGGGCUGUUGCAAUGGCCUGCAUAUGGGUCUCCUUGUUUACCCUGACCACCCAGCCUUUUCUGCUCCCUGGAGGCAGUAUUUGAGUCUCUCAGUAUUUGAGUCUCUUGAUAUGCUGUCUAGGAGGCCCUCUGGCUUUCACACCUGACACUUUCUCCAGUGCUUCAGUAGCUCCCAGCAAUGGCCAUCCAAUUCCAUUGUCUUUAUAAUGACUACUCAAUAGUUCACACAGGCCUGGUACAUUCCACCCACCAGGGCAUCCCUUGCCUCCAUAUACCAUCCUAGUUCACCAUGCAUGACAGAUUUGACAAUUGCACUGCCUCAGUUUGUUGGGGCUAUUUGUACUUCACCUAUAAUCAGCAGUAGGGCUCUCCUUGCUAGCCAGCUGGCAAGUAAACAGCUCCAAAAUCCCACUGUAAAGUUUGCUUUCUUGGACCACUGCUGGUAUCAGCUGUUGCAGGUCAGGUUCUCUGGAUUCUGACUCAGAGAUGCAGAUUUGCAUGCAGGCAGGUUUUUGGGGAGUGCUCAUGAGAUCAACACCUGUGGGAGAGGGAUGGAAGCAGAUGGAUUCCCGUGGGGAGUGAGGCAGACUGUGGAAAUGCCAUGCAGCCACAACCAAGAUCACUGCUGGCAAUCCCAGAGGGAGCUCUGGAGCUGGGGCAGUGCUUUGGAACUGUCUGCACAGGGCGCAAGAAGGCCAGGCCUUUAUGCCCUACAUUCGUGAGUCAUUGAAUGUAGGCUAAUUCCAAGUAAGGAGUGCUACUUUUUUUCUGUUCGUUUGUUUUUGUUUUUAUUUUUUUCUUGAGAUGGAGUCUUGCUCUGUCACCCAGGCUGGAGUGCAGUGGCGCAAUCUCUGCUCACUGCAACCUCCACCUCCCGAGUUCAAGCGAUUCUCCUGCCUCAGCCUCCUGAGUAGCUGGGAUUACAGGCGUGCACCACCAUGCCUGGCUAAUUUUUUGUAUUUUUAGUAGAGACGGGGUUUCUCCAUGUUGGCCAGGCUGGUCUCCAACUCAUUACUUCAGGUGAUCUGCCCACCUUGGCCUCCCAAAGUGCUGAGAUUGCAGGCGUGAGCCACCACGCCUGUCCAGGAGUGCUACAUUGAACAAGGCAGCGCUCUUCAGCCAUGAGCAACCCUUGGAGAGGGACUCACCUGAGAGCUUUUGGCCACCAACAUUCAGGAUGAGUUCUGAAAGGGGUGGGAGGGGAGCAUGUCUGAGUGCCAAACUGUAGCAUCUAUCACAGUGAACUUUGAUAGAAGUUACAUUAGAUUUUACCACUAUCCUCCUUAAAUUCCUCCAAUGGCUUAAAAUGAAAUCCAUGGGUAACAGACCCUACAUACUCUGGCUACUGAUUACCUUCAGAAGUAUCUUCUCCUUCUGGCUUAUGUGCUGCAGCUAUAUUAGCCUUCUCUCUUGCCAUUUGCUCAACAAAUAUUUAUUGAAUAUUAACUAUGGACCAAUGUUCUAUAUUGGGGCUAGAACUGUGGACCAUAAGCUAAAUUGUGGGACUGUUUUUGUAAAUAAAGUUUUAUUGGAACACAGU